ensembl:misc_RNA 7SK 7SK RNA
GGAUGUGUCUCUGAUCCAGCUGUGAAAUCUGCAUCCUAAUUUAUCCAGCAUUGAUUAGGCUGAUCUGGCUGGUUAGGCAGGUGUCACCUUCCAUUCACAGCCCCCCAUGUGCAUCCUUUCCUCAGUAGAAACAGACCCAGUCUUCUUCAGUGCAGGGUAUCCAAGUAGCUGCACUUCCCUGCUAGAACUUCACACAAGCUCUGAAUAUUCUAUGGAAGGCAAUGAUUCUCUAUCAGCCACUACAAUAAGGAUGCAUCAAGUUGACUUCUGGGAGGCGUAGUUU